UCGCAAGGCUGAAACUCAAAGGAAUUGACGGGGGCCCGCACAAGCGGUGGAGCAUGUGGUUCAAUUCGACGCAACGCGAAGAACCUUACCUGGGCUCGAACGGCUCACGAAAGUCCUUGGAAACAGGGAUUUCCCGCAAGGGACGGGAGUCGAGGUGCUGCAUGGCUGUCGUCAGCUCGUGUCGUGAGAUGUUGGGUUAAGUCCCGCAACGAGCGCAACCCUUGUCCUGUGUUACCAUGCCGAAAGGCGGCACUCGCAGGAGACCGCCAGCGAUAAGCUGGAGGAAGGUGGGGAUGACGUCAAGUCCUCAUGGCCUUUAUGUCCAGGGCUACACACGUGCUACAAUGGGCGGUACAAAGCGCUGCUAAGUCGCAAGACGGAGCCAAUCGCAAAAAACCGCUCUCAGUUCGGAUUGCAGGCUGCAACUCGCCUGCAUGAAGCUGGAAUCGCUAGUAAUGCUAUAUCAGAACGAUAGCGUGAAUACGUUCCCGGGCCUUGUACACACCGCCCGUC
rnacentral:rRNA from 1 species